AAAUUGCUAGCUGAAUAAUUCGGUAAAGAUAACAGUAAGAUUUUUUGCAUUUGCAUUAUCUCUUUUUCUAAUGUCCAAUGCGACAUCAAAACCGUUACUUGUUAUCAGUGCUCCGAAACUACUGGCAGUAAAUGCACAAAAUUGAGUAACUAAAAUUUUUGACCGGCUUUGCAGAAAACCAAAACUUACUGUAAAAAAGUUGUGAUUUUUAAUUUUAUAAACAAUUGAAAUUGAUCUCGUGCGACAUCAUGACGGAAAACAAUAAAAACAAUUGCAAGCGAUGGAGGGAAAAUUUGAAGAAGAUGAAAAUAAUAAAAGAACGCAGGAGGCGAGAAAGAAGGAAAAAGUUAUAGAAG